rnacentral:rRNA from 1 species
AUUGAACGCUGGCGGCAGGCCUAACACAUGCAAGUCGAGCGGAUGAAGGGAGCUUGCUCCUGGAUUCAGCGGCGGACGGGUGAGUAAUGCCUAGGAAUCUGCCUGGUAGUGGGGGAUAACGUCCGGAAACGGGCGCUAAUACCGCAUACGUCCUGAGGGAGAAAGUGGGGGAUCUUCGGACCUCACGCUAUCAGAUGAGCCUAGGUCGGAUUAGCUAGUUGGUGGGGUAAAGGCCUACCAAGGCGACGAUCCGUAACUGGUCUGAGAGGAUGAUCAGUCACACUGGAACUGGGACACGGUCCAGACUCCUAAGGGAGGCAGCAGUGGGGAAUAUUGGACAAUGGGCGAAAGCCUGAUCCAGCCAUGCCGCGUGUGUGAAGAAGGUCUUCGGAUUGUAAAGCACUUUAAGUUGGGAGGAAGGGCAGUAAGUUAAUACCUUGCUGUUUUGACGUUACCAACAGAAUAAGCACCGGCUAACUUCGUG